rnacentral:lncRNA from 1 species
AACAAAUUUAGUAUAGUCUAAAAUUUUAUUUUUUUUCUGCAGAUAGUUCACGUAUAUAAGGUGCAACCACUAAAAAGAAUGACAUGCAUAUGUAAUGUAAAAAUGAAUAUAAAAUGAAUGUAGUUACAUUGUGUCAUCCGGUAUUCGGGUCCAUAGUGGAAGCCGAACUUCAAUAAUGGAAAGCCAAAGUUGAAGCUUACUUCAAACGCUAUGGGGAAGAAGUGGGGUCACCAAAUAUUUGGUACAAAGGAAAGACUUGCAAUAACAUAGUACGGAAGUCAGUUUUCUGUUUGCUUCCAUCUGUACACGCUUCUACUUGAAUCCCUGUGCACGCGCUCUCCAACAAUUUAACGUCUCCGUUUGGAUCGUUUUGCCCCCAACACGUGUCGCUCUCAGCCGGCAUUCCUACCAUAGGCAGGUUCCUACCAUAAAGGUUUCCCAUCUAUCUGGCUCUCCCUCCUUUGACUCAGCAUCACUCAAACAGUCCAUCAAAUCAACAGCCAUCAGAAGCCAGCUGAGCUCCAAUGUAAGUAUUUCUUUUAUUAUUUUAAUUUGUGCGCGCGCGCGCGUGUGUGGUAUUUAAGUAGCUUUUUCUGCUCCAUGCAAGAUUUCUUCUCCUUUUCUCCGUUGGUAUCAUCAAUAUCUCCUCUGUCCUUUUUGUAACUCUACCAAUUUCAUAGGGAUAAUUGUCACUUUGGUGUCCGAUCACUUAGGGUACAAUUUACAAACCAUGGCUUUAGAAAACUAGCUUGGCCCAACAGUUAAACCCACAUCUCCUCUGCCUUCCAAUCUUACCAAGUGUAUAAUUGAUAAGGUGAAAAAUUGUUCGAUUUUGAUAAACUCAGAAGACCAAAUUCGUAAAAUUUGCCGAAAUUACUCUCCGUUGCACGAAUGACUAAGUUUGAAUUACUUGCCUUACAAUUGCACGCUUGUCUUCCACUAAUUAAAGACACAGUUAUUUCAUUUAUCUCACAUCUCUCCUGUCGCGCCCCAUUUUUUCGCGAUGGAAAAGAAAGUGUUUAUAAAGAAAGAUGUGAUUUAUUAAUAAUAAAUGAAAAAGGACCUAAAAUGGGACUUAAAAGAAUGCGACAAUUUAGGUCCCAAAAUUUAGUCUAAAAGGGUUUUUAAGAAAAAAUAGGAGUCGCCACUUGGUAUGGAGUUUUGGUGUACCAAGUCACCCAAAAAAUAUUUUUUGACAAAAAUAAAAUAAAUCAAAACCCUUUUUGACAACUCCAGGUCUUUGAAAACAAGAGAAAAUAGGUUCGGGAGUCACGGUUGAAGAAAGGGAAGGCAAAGGUUUAAUUGACUCAAACCUAAGGCACCCUUUCAACCUAGUCUAAGUUAGUUGCGAGGUUUAGUCAAAAUUUUCCUAAUCUAACC